rnacentral:rRNA from 1 species
CCGACGGUGAGGGGUGAAAGCUGGGGGAGCAAACCGGAUUAGAUACCCGGGUAGUCCCAGCUGUAAACGAUGCAAACUCGAUGAUGCGUUGGCUUAUUGCUAGCGCAGUGUCGCAGGGAAGCCGUUAAGUUUGCCGCCUGGGAAGUACGUACGCAAGUAUGAAACUUAAAGGAAUUGGCGGGGGAGCACCACAAGGGGUGAAGCCUGCGGUUCAAUUGGAGUCAACGCCAGAAAUCUUACCCGGAGAGACAGCAGAAUGAAGGUCAAGCUGAAGACUUUACCAGACAAGCUGAGAGGUGGUGCAUGGCCGUCGCCAGCUCGUGCCGUGAGAUGUCCUGUUAAGUCAGGUAACGAGCGAGAUCCCUGCCUCUAGUUGCCACCAUUACUCUCAGGAGUAGUGGGGCGAAUUAGCGGGACCGCCGCAGUUAAUGCGGAGGAAGGAAGGGGCCACGGCAGGUCAGUAUGCCCCGAAACUCUGGGGCCACACGCGGGCUGCAAUGGUAACGACAAUUGGUUUCGAAUCCGAAAGGAUGAGGUAAUCCUCAAACGUUACCACAGUUAUGACUGAGGGCUGCAACUCGCCCUCACGAAUAUGGAAUCCCUAGUAACUGCGUGUCAUUAUCGCGCGGUGAAUACGUCCCUGCUCCUUGCACUCACCGCCCGU